CUAAUAGUACAGUGAGUCGGCCAAGGGAAUCUGGUGUGAAUCCAGAACUGGCGCGCAGCGGUCAGGAGAGUACCGCCCGCAGGUAGAGAUUAAGACCACUGGCGUGGAUCGCGCUGGGAAGGUUUCUGUGGGAUGGAAUGAUCCUCCGAGUCCGAAAACCUGCCGACUCAGCGGUUAUCCU
rnacentral:ncRNA from 2 species